rnacentral:rRNA from 1 species
CCUACGGGGGGCAGCAGUGGGGAAUAUUGGACAAUGGGGGCAACCCCGAUCCAGCCAUGCCGCGUGUGUGAAGAAGGCCCUCGGGUUGUAAAGCACUUUCAGUGAGGAAGAACGCCUGGUGGUUAAUACCCAUCAGGAAAGACAUCACUCACAGAAGAAGCACCGGCUAACUCCGUGCCAGCAGCCGCGGUAAUACGGAGGGUGCGAGCGUUAAUCGGAAUUACUGGGCGUAAAGCGCGCGUAGGUGGCUUGAUAAGCCGGUUGUGAAAGCCCCGGGCUCAACCUGGGAACGGCAUCCGGAACUGUCAAGCUAGAGUGCAGGAGAGGAAGGUAGAAUUCCCGGUGUAGCGGUGAAAUGCGUAGAGAUCGGGAGGAAUACCAGUGGCGAAGGCGGCCUUCUGGACUGACACUGACACUGAGGUGCGAAAGCGUGGGUAGCAAACAGGAUUAGAUACCCGAGUAGUC